rnacentral:tRNA from 4 species
AAACUUAGGAUAAUAUCAAACCAAGG